CAGAAUUAUGACAUGGAUUUUUCCUGCCAAGAGGAUGAGACUUUUCCAUUAAUCAAAAAUUAUUUAAGGGAAAUGGAAGAACUUGAGCUCGGGAACCGGAAAGACCUGGGUUCAAACUCUGCCUCUGCUGCUUACACUUAUGCGACCUGAGGCAACUUCCUUCUCGUCUCGGAGCCCCAGUCUCCUAACCGGACCCUCUUCUUGAAGUUCACGGACUCCACGUGUACCAACACCUGGCCCAGCUCAGUGCCUCCUGCCCACCGCUCUCAAUUCGGACGUAUCUGUUGUUGUUCAUUGGCUUUCUCUCCUCACUAGGACGUGAGCUCCCUCUGGGCAGGUGUCCAUCUGUCUCUUCAGCUCUAUCCUCAGAGCCUGUUAGGGAUGAGGAGCCAAGAUGGAUGCAGAGUGACUGCUGCUUUUGAAGUUCGUGUGGUGACCUUGCUGUUCCUAUCAUCCACUCAGCUGACACUUACUGAGAACGGACCAGA